rnacentral:lncRNA from 1 species
GUCCUCGGAGUAUGAAGUUGAGUGCCAGAAAUUGAUUGCGCAUUUUAAGACCUUAUCGUCUACGCUUAAGUAUGCGAUUCCCAGUGUUGAGAAGUUUCACGAGACUUACAAAUUGGACUGUCCUGCUGCGAUAAAUCGUUUGGUGGUUUCUGGCGUACCUGCUACAGUGGAGCACAGAGCGGCGGCUGCGAUUUCAUCUGCUGCUUCGGCUUCUGUUGUUGCAGAAUGUGUACAGAAUUUUAUUACGGCUAUGGAUUCAUUGAAGCUGAAUAUGGUGGC